rnacentral:rRNA from 1 species
GAUGAACGCUGGCGGCGUGCCUAAUACAUGCAAGUCGAGCGAACAGACGAGGAGCUUGCUCCUCUGACGUUAGCGGCGGACGGGUGAGUAACACGUGGAUAACCUACCUAUAAGACUGGGAUAACUUCGGGAAACCGGAGCUAAUACCGGAUAAUAUAUUGAACCGCAUGGUUCAAUAGUGAAAGACGGUUUUGCUGUCACUUAUAGAUGGAUCCGCGCCGCAUUAGCUAGUUGGUAAGGUAACGGCUUACCAAGGCAACGAUGCGUAGCCGAACUGAGAGGGUGAUCGGCCACACUAGAACUGAGACAGGGUCCAGACUCCUACGGGAGGGAGCAGUAGGGAAUCUUACGCAAUGGGCGAAAGCCUGACGGAGCAACGCCGCGUGAGUGAUGAAGGUCUUCGGAUCGUAAAACUCUGUUAUUAGGGAAGAACAAAUGUGUAAGUAAAUAUGCACGUCUUGACGGUACCUAAUCAGAAAGCCACGGCUAACUACGUG